rnacentral:rRNA from 1 species
UUUCCGGUUGAUCCUGCCGGACCCGACUGCUAUCGGAUUGAGAUUAAGCCAUGCGAGUCAAACGCCUUUCGUCUGUGAGAGGUGUGGCACACGGCUCAGUAACACGUUGCCAACCUGCCCUGGAGACGCAAACAACCCCGGGAAACUGGGACUAAUUUGUGAUAGGUCAUCUCUCCUGGAAUGGGUCAUGACUGAAAGGGUUGUGGAAGCAUGUUUUCACAAUUGCUCUAGGAUGGGGCAGCGUCCGAUCAGGUUGUUGGUGGGGUAAUGGCCCACCAAGCCUGUAACCGGUGCGGGCUUUGAGAGAAGGAGCCCGGAGAUGGACACUGAGACAAGGGUCCAGGCCCUACGGGGCGCAGCAGGCGCGAUAACUUCGCAAUGUGCGAAAGCGCGACGAGGUUAAUCCGAGUGCCGCCCGCUGAGGGCGGCUUUUCUUAGGUGUAAAUGGUCUGAGGAAUAAGGGGAGGGAAAGCCUGGUGUCAGCCGCCGCGGUAAUACCAGCUCCUCGAGUGGUCGGGACGUUUAUUGGGCCUAAAGCAUCCGUAGCCUGCUCUGUUGGUCCCAGGUAAAAUCCAAUCGCUCAACGAUUGGGCUGCAUGGGAUACCGCAGGGCUAGGAGGCGGGAGAGGCGGACGGUACUCCGCGGGUAGGGGUAAAAUCCACUGAUCCGCGGAAGACCACCAGUGGCGAAGGCGGUCCGCCAGAACGCGCUCGACGGUGAGGGAUGAAAGCUGGGGGAGCGAACCGGAUUAGAUACCCGGGUAGUCCCAGCUGUAAACGAUGCGAGCUAGGUGAUGGAGUGGCUACGUGCCAUUCCAGUGCCGCAGGGAAGCCGUUAAGCUCGCCGCCUGGGGAGUACGGUCGCAAGGCUGGAACUUAAAGGAAUUGGCGGGGGAGCACCACAAGGGGUGAAGCCUGCGGUUCAAUUGGAUUCAACGCCCGG